UACGUAGGGGGCAAGCGUUGUCCGGAGUUACUGGGCGUAAAGGGCCUGCAGGCGGUCUGCUAAGUUUGAAGUAACAGUCUCCGGCUCAACUGGAGAAGGCCUUUGAAAACUGGUAGACUUGAGGGCUUCAGAGGGACACGGAAUUCCGGGUGUAGUGGUGAAAUGCGUAGAUAUCCGGAGGAACACCAAAGGCGAAGGCAGUGUCCUGGGAAGUCACUGACGCUGAGGGGCGAAAGCCAGGGGAG
rnacentral:rRNA from 1 species